rnacentral:snRNA from 1 species
GCUUGCUUUGGCAUAACACAAAAUUGGAAUGAUACAGCAAAUAUUAGCAUGGUCCCUGUACAAGUAUGAUGCUAUGGUUUGGACGAGUGUCCUCCAAAGGCU